GAUGAAGAACGUAGCGAAAUGCGAUAAGUAAUGUGAAUUGCAGAAUUCAGUGAAUCAUCGAAUCUUUGAACGCACAUUGCGCCCUCUGGUAUUCCGGAGGGCAUGCCUGUUCGAGCGUCAUUUCGACCCUCAAGCAUUGCUUGGUGUUGGGGCACCGCCUGUAAAAGGGCGGGCCCUGAAAUCUAGUGGCGAGCUCGCCAGGACCCCGAGCGUAGUAAUUAUAUUUCGUUCUGGAAGGCCCUGGCGGUGCCCUGCCGUUAAACCCCCAACUUCUGAAAAUUUGACCUCGGAUCAGGUAGGAAUACCCGCUGAACUUAAGCAUAUCAAUAAGCGGGGA
rnacentral:misc_RNA from 1 species